UGGAUUGACCUAGAACCUAACAGACCAAGCACCUGGGAGGGCAAAGAGGAGUGAUUACCUGGGAAGAACUACCGCUCAUCUUGAAGGGUGGCCAGCUCCACGUCCAUCCAUCGGCGGCGGCGAGCGGCAGUCAGCACGAGGUCUGGAUGGAGGGCCACGAGCACCAGGAGGCACGUCGAGGGGCACCACGAGGCACCAUGGUCACUGCGGGAACACGCCCAACCUGAAGGCCAUCACCAGCCGCCGUCCACGCUCCGGAGCUUAGGUAAGCAAAUCCAUUCCCCUACCUUUGGGUAGUCAAGGUAAAUCCUUUAUGCUUGAGGGUACCAGAACAGACUAUUGAGUGAAUGAAACUUGUGGUUGGCUGCUAUAUGUGUUGUUUGAUGCUUGGUUCAGUAGAAAAAUUGCAUAAAUUUCAGUUUAAUUUAAUCAUCACUCGGCUUCAGGAUUAUGUAUCUCUGCACUAAGAUUUCCAUGUUUAGAGAAAAACCUGUAUGUUAAAACAAGAUGCCACCGUGAAGUAAUUUACACCGAGAUAGCAUCAUGUUCUCAUCAGAAAAAGGAGUUAAAGUUUCAACCAUGAUAGAGACCUGAUUAAAAAUGGAGUAGUGCUAAAAGGAAAAAUUAAUUGGAUGCACACUGCAUAUUAUUUCUAGGAAGGCAUGUGUGAAACAUUUCCAGGAAGCCACGUGUAAACUUUUUUCAUGAAAACAUUCUAAGAUAGUAACCAAGGUCUGUUUCUUUUAUCACGAAAAUUUUGCAAAUGCGCAACCUUUCAACAGUAUGUAAAGAUUUCCUCACAUAUGCAAGAGUAGCCUCACAAGCCCACCCCUGUAAGGAAUGAUUUACCUAAGAACACCAACUGCUGGCAUAUCUAUAUUUGGGUGAUGACUGGAAAAGCUUGCACUCGCAUCUCUGAAAAUGCAGCAGAGACUUAAUUCCUGGGAACACGCCAAACCCGAAGGCCAUCACCAGCC
rnacentral:lncRNA from 1 species